rnacentral:rRNA from 1 species
GAGUGAACGCUGGCGGUAGGCCUAACACAUGCAAGUCGAACGGCAGCACAGUAAGAGCUUGCUCUUACGGGUGGCGAGUGGCGGACGGGUGAGGAAUACAUCGGAACCUACUUUUUCGUGGGGGAUAACGUAGGGAAACUUACGCUAAUACCGCAUACGACCUACGGGUGAAAGCAGGGGAUCUUCGGACCUUGCGCGAUUGAAUGAGCCGAUGUCGGAUUAGCUAGUUGGCGGGGUAAAGGCCCACCAAGGCGACGAUCCGUAGCUGGUCUGAGAGGAUGAUCAGCCACACUGGAACUGAGACACUGUCCAGACUCCUACGGGAGGCAGCAGUGGGGAAUAUUGGACAAUGGGCGCAAGCCUGAUCCAGCCAUACCGCGUGGGUGAAGAAGGCCUUCGGGUUGUAAAGCCCUUUUGUUGGGAAAGAAAAGCAGCAGGUUAAUACCCCGCUGUUCUGACGGUACCCAAAGAAUAAGCACCGGCUAACUUCGUG